GUACUUGUACCGACUGGAUGAGCAGCGAACGGGUGAGUAACGCGUGGGGAAUCUGCCUUUGAGCGGGGGACAACAUUUGGAAACGAAUGCUAAUACCGCAUAAAAACUUUAAACACAAGUUUUAAGUUUGAAAGAUGCAAUUGCAUCACUCAAAGAUGAUCCCGCGUUGUAUUAGCUAGUUGGUGAGGUAAAGGCUCACCAAGGCGAUGAUACAUAGCCGACCUGAGAGGGUGAUCGGCCACAUUGGGACUGAGACACGGCCCAAACUCCUACGGGAGGCAGCAGUAGGGAAUCUUCGGCAAUGGACGAAAGUCUGACCGAGCAACGCCGCGUGAGUGAAGAAGGUUUUCGGAUCGUAAAACUCUGUUGGUAGAGAAGAACGUUGGUGAGAGUGGAAAGCUCAUCAAGUGACGGUAACUACCCAGAAAGGGACGGCUAACUACGUGCCAGCAGCCGCGGUAAUACGUAGGUCCCGAGCGUUGUCCGGAUUUAUUGGGCGUAAAGCGAGCGCAGGUGGUUUAUUAAGUCUGGUGUAAAAGGCAGUGGCUCAACCAUUGUAUGCAUUGGAAACUGGUAGACUUGAGUGCAGGAGAGGAGAGUGGAAUUCCAUGUGGUAGCGGUGG
rnacentral:rRNA from 1 species